rnacentral:piRNA from 1 species
UCCAAUACCCUUGGCAUGCCUGGAGAUAU